AUACGUAGGGGGCUAGCGUUAUCCGGAAUUACUGGGCGUAAAGGGUGCGUAGGUGGUUUCUUAAGUCAGAAGUGAAAGGCUACGGCUCAACCGUAGUAAGCUUUUGAAACUAAGAGACUUGAGUGCAGGAGAGGAGAGUAGAAUUCCUAGUGUAGCGGUGAAAUGCGUAGAUAUUAGGAGGAAUACCAGUUGCGAAGGCGGCUCUCUGGACUGUAACUGACACUGAGGCACGAAAGCGUGGGGAGCAAACAGGAUUAGAUACCCUGGUAGUCCACGCCGUAAACGAUGAGUACUAGCUGUCGGGGGUUACCCCCCUCGGUGGCGCAGCUAACGCAUUAAGUACUCCGCCUGGGAAGUACGCUCGCGAGAGUGAAACUCAAAUGAAUUGACGGGG
rnacentral:rRNA from 1 species